rnacentral:SRP_RNA from 1 species
GCAGGGUCCCGUUCGAGUCGGAGCUUCGCGAACCCGGUCAGGUCCGGAAGGAAGCAGCCGUAGUGGGGAUUCGGUUGCGAGCGAUUCGGCCCUGCGGU